rnacentral:sRNA from 1 species
AAACUCAAGAAACCCAGGUUUGAAUAAUUGGUGAAUUUCGUCGUGUAAUUGAUAUGUUAAAAUUGUGUGACAUCCAAUGUAUACCUGUGAACGAUGGCGACGAGUAGAAAUCCCUACGACAAUGUGGAGGUGGAACUGACAGAAAAAGACCCGUUUGUCAGUGUGAAAACUGGCAAAGAGUCGCAAGCCAAAGAUUUACAGAUCCUGAGAAGUCAGUUUUUACCAGCAAGAGAAUAUAUUAACAAUUUCAAAUGCCCAAUUGAAGAAGCCUUUGACAAAUGUUAUGCUGGGCAAAACGGCGAAGGAAAAACUAGAUUUCUUCGGUGUGCUGAGACACUUCAUGUUCAAAGGUUACAGAAGAGGAAAGACUUGGAAUCUCUUUCUUCCUUACUAAAUAUCAAUGACCAGAACUUCAAAAAAUGUGUGUUCAGAGCCAUUCAGGAAUCAUUGUUAGAGAUGAUCCUGGAUGAAACAAAAGUGGAUAUCAUUGACAGAUGCUUGGUCUACGUUAUACAGCAUUUAAAGGACUCGGAGGACGAAGACACACUUCAGACACACAUUGUUACCAUUGACACAGUGAUUAGGUGCUGUGCUGCAUCCGCCAUACUUUACUGCGCUUAUAAAAAAACAAAGAAAGAUUCUUUUAGCAAAAUUAGCAAAAGCGUUUCAUCAAUAAAUAAAAUCUGGACUAAGGCAGCGUCUAGAAAAGGCGUGAAAACAGAAGAUCCAGUAUGCUAUCAAUUGCUUAAAGGGGCAAUGUCUCUUGUUGCGACCCUCAAUAAACUCAAAUUUGGAAUACAAUUUGAGGAUCUCUUCAAAUGUGUAGAUGCCAGUUUCUCUUUAUCAAAACAUGACAAGGUUGUGUCAGACAUUGCGCAGAAAGGAUGUAUUACAGAGCAAUUGGUUGUUACGUUUGGAAUUUUGUCAAAGAUGUCAGCAAACCCUCCAGAUAUGUGUAAAAGGUUUAUACAGUUCAUAGGACCAAUUGUUCAACGGAAAGGACAGAGAACUCUGCUACGUUUAGAUGAAGAUUUCCAGCAUCUAGGAUAUCUAAUUGUUUGUGGAGUUGCCUUUAUCUAUAGGAAAUUUCCUCAAAUGCAAUCGGCCGAUCUUCAAAAAAUAAUUGAAGAUGUUGUUUUCUUGUUAAGAAACAACCAUUUGAAAAUUCCGGAAGAAAUGACAGAUCUGAUUUUGUCUUUGAAUGCCGCCAUCGCUCAACCACUGAUCCUCUGUCUUAAUCUAUCGGAGGAAAACAUGCUGCAUUUAGCUGACGACUACACUGAAACACUAACCGAAAACAUCUCCAAAAACUAUCAGAUCAUUCUCACUGGAUGCUAUCCGCUGGUCGCUUUUUUUCACACAGCAUAAGAUUAGCCAUGCUUAUACCAGGAAUUGCAAAUAGUCAAUUUAAAACUAACAAAUCUGUGGAUGAUAGCAAGAGAAUAGAAAACGAGUUCGACAUUUUGUUGAAAUUACAGAAUGGAGAAACUCAUUUAAAUAUUGUCCGAAUGCUAGCAUUUAACCCCUUACGGAGCCGGUUACAUUUUCACGUAAUUGAACAUUACUCUACAUCACUUAUUGACAAAGUCAUUGAAUCAAGGUUACGCCAAGAAUAUCUCCCAGAUGACUGGAUGAACAGUCGCCUAAUAGAUGUUGCUUGUGGACUCCAUUUUCUUCACCAGAGAAGCAUAAUACACAGAGAUAUUACUUUGAACUCAUUUUCUCUAAAACCCAUUUCGCCUUACCAUGAGAUAGCCGUUCUUUCUAACUUAGAGAUGGCUUGUUCUAGUAGUAACGAA